rnacentral:misc_RNA from 1 species
UACGUAGGUGGCGAACGUUGUCCGGAUUCACUGGGCGUAAAGCGCGCGCAGGCGGGUCUGUAAGUCUGAGGUGAAAUCUCCCGGCUCAACCGGGAUAGGCCCUUGGAUACUGCAGGCCUUGAGGGACCUAGAGGAGAGUGGAAUUCCCGGUGUAGUGGUGGAAUGCGUAGAUAUCGGGAGGAACACCAGUGGCGAAAGCGACUCUCUGGGGGUUACCUGACGCUGAGGCGCGAAAGCGUGGGGAGCAAACAGG